AUUGAACGCUGGCGGCACGCCUAACACAUGCAAGUCGAGCGGCAGCGAGAUUAGUAGCAAUACUAAUUGUCGGCGAGCGGCGGACGGGUGAGGAACACGUAGGAACUUGCCUAAUAGAGGGGGAUAACUAAUGGAAACGUUAGCUAAUACCGCAUAACCUCGGAAGAGCAAAGCUGCAGCAAUGUGGCGCUAUUAGAGAGGCCUGCGUCCGAUUAGCUAGUGGGUGUGGUAAUGGCACACCAAGGCGAUGAUCGGUAACUGGUCUGAGAGGACGACCAGUCACACUGGGACUGAGACACGGCCCAGACUCCUACGGGAGGCAGCAGUGGGGAAUCUUGGACAAUGGGGGCAACCCUGAUCCAGCGAUGCCGCGUGAGUGAAGAAGGCCCUCGGGUCGUAAAGCUCUUUAGGCUGGGAAGAAGGUUGUUAGAGGAAAUGCUAGCAAUUUGACUGUACCAGCAGAAUAAGCACCGGCAAACUCUGUGCCAGCCGCCGCAGUAACAC
rnacentral:rRNA from 1 species